rnacentral:rRNA from 1 species
GUCCGGAAACGGGCGCUAAUACCGCAUACGUCCUGAGGGAGAAAGUGGGGGAUCUUCGGACCUCACGCUAUCAGAUGAGCCUAGGUCGGAUUAGCUAGUUGGUGGGGUAAAGGCCUACCAAGGCGACGAUCCGUAACUGGUCUGAGAGGAUGAUCAGUCACACUGGAACUGAGACACGGUCCAGACUCCUACGGGAGGCAGCAGUGGGGAAUAUUGGACAAUGGGCGAAAGCCUGAUCCAGCCAUGCCGCGUGUGUGAAGAAGGUCUUCGGAUUGUAAAGCACUUUAAGUUGGGAGGAAGGGCAGUAAGUUAAUACCUUGCUGUUUUGACGUUACCAACAGAAUAAGCACCGGCUAACUUCGUGCCAGCAGCCGCGGUAAUACGAAGGGUGCAAGCGUUAAUCGGAAUUACUGGGCGUAAAGCGCGCGUAGGUGGUUCAGCAAGUUGGAUGUGAAAUCCCCGGGCUCAACCUGGGAACUGCAUCCAAAACUACUGAGCUAGAGUACGGUAGAGGGUGGUGGAAUUUCCUGUGUAGCGGUGAAAUGCGUAGAUAUAGGAAGGAACACCAGUGGCGAAGGCGACCACCUGGACUGAUACUG